rnacentral:piRNA from 1 species
GGGAAAGGCCUGGAGAACUCGAG